UUGCAUGCUCAAAGUUUGAAGCUUUUCGUCAUCAAUCAUCCUCAUGACCUCUGAUUUUGAAAUUCCAUGCUCUUUUAAGAGGUGAGGUGCUUAGAUUAGUGGGUGUUAAUACUUAUUAUGGGGUUUCUACGCAUGUUGAAAAUUUUGGGAUUUUAUGAGUGUUUUCACUUUUCAUUAUGACAUACAUGUUACGUUGUUUGAUUCAUUAAUGUUUUUUUGAUAUGAAUAGCAUGCAUAAUGUUGCGUUGCUGAAAUUAUUGUGUUAUAACAUGCAUAUGUCUUGUAAUUUAUGAUUUAUGCAUUAGAGAUCAA
rnacentral:lncRNA from 1 species